rnacentral:lncRNA from 1 species
CGAACUACCGCUUUCCCCGUAACCAGGGAGACUGCAGUUUGCAGUGAUGUGGCUAAGAUACCCUUGUGCUAUUAAAGGCACAUUUACGUAUCUUUCAACGCAGUUUGUACCUUUGUUUAGGGUUCUAUUGAACUUUCUCUGUGCUCUUUAGAAAACCGUCGAAUAAAGGUAACCAUCUUUUUGGGUGCCUGGGCAUGGUCAUUGUCCCAGAGUUUUAACAUAAGUCUCUACUAAAGUAUCGUGAUUUGCAAGGGAGGUCAUGGACCAAGUACAAAGCGGCAAAAGGAUGGAAUUAAGGUACCUGACAUUGUUGAACCCUUGCCUGAUGCCACAUUAGCUCAGGACUACCUACAUGGACAUGGAUAUUUCCAGUGAAAGAAAGAAGAAAGCAUGCUUUUCUCUUGACUGUGCAGAAAAAAAAUCUAUGUUUCUUUGAUUCUCCAUUUUACUAGAUGCCAUACCUUUGUAGUUACUUCAUGUGGAGUCUUGACCAAGAUUCAGGAAAUACUAGAACUUUCAGUCCCAGAAGGUUACUCUGGGCAUUACUAGUCCCCAUCAUUAUGAGUUGAGUUUUACUAGUUAAUUUCAGACGAAAAAUAUUUGUUUUUCCCCAAAUUCUGGGGUUACGUACUUUUACUACCUAUGAACUGACAACUGUAUCUUCAGUAAUUACAAUUUCCAACAAAAUGUUAUAGGAAUAAAGAAAAGAUGUUAGUUCAUUAUUCAGAGUUUAUGUUUAUUCCUUUAAUUUAAAAAAAUGGUCCG